rnacentral:tRNA from 1 species
GCCUGGGUGGCUCAGCUGGUUAAGUGUCCGACUUGGGCUCAGGACAUGAUCUCAUGGUUUGUGGGUUUGAGCCCCACCUCCGGCU